rnacentral:lncRNA from 1 species
AAAUACUGAAAUCUUAUUAGAUCACUUUUAAACGAGUUUAAUCGAAUUUGAUAACUUUUAAUUUAUUUUACAAUAAUUCACACAUAUAAGUCCACUCGAUUAAAAUUUGUUACAAAAGGCUCUUUCCCUUUCUAUCUCUUUGUUAGGCCCGCUUCUUGGUCCUCAACCUCAUCUGGUUCGACGAUUUUUAUGGCCGAAUUUGGUUCACCGUCAAUGGCUUUUUCUUAGACUCCGUGAUAGUGAGUUAUCUCUUUUGAGGAAGGGAGGAUCAGUAUUUUUCGUGAUAGUAAUCCACCUCUUCAUAAUUUUCUCUUUCUAAGUCUUCUCCUCUUUUCCCUUUUCCUUCUUCUUGGCUUUGGCAGUGGCGAUCUCUUUGGCUUCAGAUGGUAGAUGCGGGUCAACUAAUCGCUAUAACCUUGUAGGCCACAGUAUUGGUACUGAGAGGUUAAUUUUUCUUCCCUUGCAAGGCGCUUCAUGAAAGACAUGUUUGGCUUGACAUACUCUUUCUUAUCAUGUUGAUCUACAAAUAAUGUAGAUGCGUUAACACUUAAGCAUGUGAUGGCACCAAUAUAUCUAUGGAAGGAACUUUACCUUUGGAGGCCAUUAUUUGAUGGCUAACAGAAAAGUUCCUAUUUGAGAUGACUCGGUUUUAUGACCUCUGCUCAAUGGAAAGGUCGUAAAUAUCUCUAACAAAAUCCCACUUCUCUGGUUCUAACUCGAAUUGGUUAACUACUGUUAAAAAAAUGGAGAUAGAAAGAUGCUGACCAAAGCGUAAAAGGUACGGAGAAGUCAACGAAAAGAACUUUCUACACUCGUGAUAAUAGGUCAGAACCAUGACUCAGGCACCGCAUCGUUCUUUACUUCUUUACAAUCUGCCACCUGUCUCUAACCUAGAACUAAGAGGAAUUCCAAUUCUUUUUUUUUUUUUUUUUUUAUAUCCAGAUAUCCUAACUUACACCAGACUAAAUUCUGGACCUCCAAGACCCAUGUCCCUAGAACCUUGAAAGGGGUAAAUUGCGGGAUAUGUUUCAACUGGAUUACAGGUUCCCCCAUUGACUGUACACUUCUACGCACAAGAGACACUCCUCCACAGUGAUUGCUCCAUACCAAAUUUUUGGCCGCAGGUUCCCACUAGGAAUCGAACUCUCCACCUUACCGUUGGAGGCAAGCCAAUGUUGAUUGAUCCACCAGUUGAGUUGUGUCCCGAGGGGCAUUUCCAAUUCUUAAUAGAAGUGGGAGUGCCCAAGGCCAAAGGCGUAUGUAAACCCCCAUCGGUUCAUACAAU